CUGUAGAAAAUUCAUGGCAUAGAGACUGAUAUAAGUGCAUGGUUAUUGUUGCAGUGACACUAAACACUAAACAGUUAACCUUAAAGUUAGCUGCUCAAUCGUUCUCAUUGUUUUGGUAGAAAGCAAUUAUGCCAAUAAGUUAUGUUGUGUUUGUUUACACUGUCUUAAGUGCACUCUAGAAAAUGUGUGUGUGUGUGUGUGUGUGUGUGUGUGUGUGUGUGUGUGUGGUGUAGAUUUCAAAAUGUCUCGAAAGAAGUUCAGGCCUUGCCCCUCCUGCCAAGCACCUAACCAGGUGAGCCGCAAAACCUGCAGCUCUUGUUUCGCAGCCAUCUCCCAAAAAAAGAAAGUAGCGGCCAAAAAAGUGACCCUGGACAGGAAGUGGGGGGAAAGGGUCCUAAAAAACAGAAAUGCAGGAAGAGUGGUGGACUCUGCCCAUAUUGCAGU